rnacentral:lncRNA from 1 species
GCCGUGUCCUGCGAAUACACUUUUCCUUGCAUGCAAAGCAGAACGAAGGCCAGAAGAAUUUCUACUGAGCCCCUACCUGUUGGGGUAACCUCCUGACACACAAACCAUAUCAGUUAUGAAGGUGUGUCUCUCUACUCUCUAUUGCUGUAAGUGAGGCUGGCAGGAUAUAUUGUAUUGUCACUUCUACAGCCCACAAUGCAUGCUUUCUAUGUGUCGCUUCCUCAUCUACCCCAAAAGAUGAUUUGCUGAGAUUAUCACGUUGAAAAGCAAGCUAUGAACUUCAGGAGCAUGUGAAGGGGUUGGUCCUGCAGAUCCAAAGCUGCAGUAUCUCCAUGGCACCUGGUGUGGUGGUUUGAAUAUGCUUGGCCCAGGAAGUGGCACUAUUAGGAGGUGUGGCUUUGUUGGAGGAAGUGUGUCUCUGUGGGGG